GACCGCGUAGCUCAGUUGGAAGAGCAUUGGGCUAGUAUUCCAAAGGUCGUAGGUUCGAUUCCCACCGUGUCCG